AUUUAAAAAAAAAUGAUUCAUUGAUAAGAAAAUAAAAUUUAUCAGAAAUUGAUAGCGAACGAUCUAAUUAUCGUAUUUCCUCGAAUAAUAACCGGGGGCGAUUAUUUCUUUUUUUUCACCAAAAAGGGGCAACUUUUUCGAGGGAAAGCGAUUAUUCGAGGGAGGCGAUUAUUUCAAAUAUUUCUCAGAGAAGGUUGUGCCUUAAAUAUUUUUGUUUUAUUAUACCAUUAAAUCAAAAAAAUAAUCACAUCAAAUAUAAGCACGAUGGACUACGAUGAUUGGGGAAAAACUUCUGUGCAAGAACGACAAAAGAGAGGAAGCAAAAGCAUAUGACGACUUUGCGGUCGGUUUAUAUGGAAAAGACAGCAGUGGCGGCUCUGAUGUUCUAGUUGGGCAUGUACCAAUUGAACUAUCCCGUCUCGUUUGCACUUUCCUGAAUGCAGAAGAUAGCAAUGAAGGCGAUGCCGAGGUUAUCGAAAAGCGGACUGCAGAAAACGGACUUGUUGCUCCAGCGAUUAAUUCAUUGCGGACAAGGAACAAGAACAUAUCCGAUGUGUUAAAUAGAGAGCUCCAAGCAAUAAAGGAAAAAGUGAAGUAUAUGAACGUUGUCAUAGAAAAAAA